CUCCAAACCGCUCUGGGAACAUCUUCACAGACAUGCCCAGAGGUUUCUCUUCAAGGCGGCUCUAAAUCCUGGCAAGUUGGUUUUGCUGACAUCACAAGGAUCUGGAAGAGAUGAGUCACAUCCCAGAGGCCCCGGGCCCAGCCAUCCUCUGGUUCUGUACAGUUGCCUAUGUCACCCGGCCUGUUCUCAUGCUGAAACGCACGUCUGGAUAUGUAAGUGCUCAGACAUGCACUGCCUCUGGAACGUGUUUGCUUUCAGGGAAGGGACCCAGGUGGUAACAGGACAACGUCCACAUCCACUUACUUUCUGCCCUUUGGAGAGUUUAUUCCAUACAGUGUGAUGUAACUACCAUCACGCACGUGCUAUUUGAAAAGUCAUUUGGGAGUGCCCACUACGUAUGCUGAUUCCUGGGACCAUAGGUCUACAUUGUGGGUUUCCAAAGAAGUCACCCUGUGUGAUCAGGACAACAC
rnacentral:lncRNA from 1 species